rnacentral:rRNA from 1 species
AGGGCGAACGCUGGCGGCGUGCUUAACACAUGCAAGUCGAGCGGAAAGGCCCUUUCGGGGUACUCGAGCGGCGAACGGGUGAGUAACACGUGAGCAACCUGCCCCUGGCUCUGGGAUAGCCUUCGGGAAACGGGGAUUAAUACCGGAUAUUCACUGCUUCCUGCAUGGGGGGUGGUGGAAAGUUUUUCGGCUGGGGUGGGCUCGCGGCCUAUCAGCUUGUUGGGGGGUGACGGCCCACCAAGGCGACGACGGGUAG